CCCCGUGGGUAAGAAGAACACCUGGUAGAGGGGAGGGAAGGUUAAUGGGUAAGUAGAUAGGUAGGUAGGUAGGUAGUAGAUGGGUAGGUAGGUAAGUAGGUAGGUAAGUAGAUAGGUAGGUAGGUAAGUAGAUAGGUAGGUAGGUAAGUAGGUAGGUAAGUAGAUAGGUAGGUAGGUAAGUAGAUAGGUAGGUAGGUAAGUAGAUAGGUAGGUAGGUAAGUAGAUAGGUAGGUAGGUAAGUAGAUAGGUAGGUAGGUAAGUAGAUAGGUAGGUAGGUAAGUAGAUAGGUAGGUAGGUAAGUAGAUAGGUAGGUAGGUAAGUAGAUAGGUAAGUGGGUAAGUAGAUAGGUAGGUAGAUAGGUAAGUAGGUAGCUAGAAGUACACAUAGCCUUCAAAACGGCAUACAUAAAAGUACACAUAGACACAUAAAAGUAUACACAAACACAGAUAGUAUACAUGGCUUUCAAUACACAAUACAGGAAAAUAAAAUAAUGCAUAGAAGAAACCAAACUACACAUAAAUAAACCAAGUAUACAUAGCGAUAAAACACACACAAAAUACCUCAAAAAAAAUAUGUGACUGAUGGGGUAGGUAGUAAAAAGAGGAAAGAGGGGGUAGAGAGUUAAUUAAGUAGGUUGGUGAAUAGGUAAGUAGGUACAUAGGUAGGUAGGUUGGUAAGUAGGAAGGAAAGGGAAGCAGUUGUGUGGAGGUGGGUAAGUACUUGAAUGAACUGAUAUGUAGGUAAAUCAGUAGAGUAGUGGAUUCCUAGAUCACAUUUUGGGGUGUCAGUAGGUAGGUGGGUAGGCGUGAAGGUGGAUGGAUGAUUGGGUAAGUAGAAGUGGAGUUGGGUGGACGUGGGAAGGGGGAACAUGCAAAGGUGGAUGGGGAUGUGGAAGGAUAUAAUUAUGGUGUGUGUGUGUGUGUGUGUGUGUGUGUGUGUGUGUGUAGGACAGGGUGGAUGGGUGGGAAGGUGUUAAAAGGAAAAUUAAAAGGUGUUAAAUAAAAAUAAAAAUAAAUAUAAAUACCGUAAAUAUAAAUAAAUAAAAUAAAAUAGAAAUAAAA